GUCAGAUUUGUGAAGCGCUGAUGAUAUUGUGGAGGUCUGCACAGGUCUUCCUGUUUUCACCAUUGAGCUCUGUAACUCCUUCAGUGUUGUAGUUGGCCUCUUGGACACCCCCCUCAGAUUUCACAGUGCUCAUAGGAAGGUUCAGAACUUUGCUGAUCUUUUUAUAACCUUGUCCAGCUUUUUUUUCCUCCUAACAACUUCAUCUCAGAGCUUCACGGGCAGUUCCUUGGUCUUCAUGACAGCAGGACUGAUCUGAUCUCCCAUUUUAACUUAUGUGGUGUGACCCCCUUGUGCAGGAAUAACUGCAGAUAAACGUUUGGGGUAACUGUUGAUCAGUCCUGCACAUCAGCUUGGAGGAGUUUUAUCCCGUUCUUCAGUACAGAACAGCUUCAACGCUGGGAUGCUCGCUUCAGGUUCUUCCACAACAUUUCUAUUGGAUUAAGGGUCACGGGGAACCUGGAGCCUAUCCCAGGGACACAGUAAUACCACGGUCAGUAAACCAGUUACUAGAAGUUUUGGCACUGUGGGCAGGUGCAGAGUCCUGCUGGAAAAGGAAACCAGCAUCUCCAUAAAGCUCGUCAGCAGAUGGAAGCAUGCAGCGUCUACCAGGAGAUUUUAGAGCACUUCAUCAACUCUCAACUUGAGAAAACACACUGGACCAACACCAGCAGAUGACAUGGCACCUCAAAUGUGGAAACUGUGGAAACUUCACAUUGGACUUCAAGCAACUUGGAUUCUGUUCCUCUCCACUCUUCCUCCAGACUCUGGAACCUUGAUUUCCAAAUGAAAUGCAACACUUACUUUUUUUUUCAUUUUCCCUGUGAUUGUGGUUGUGUACUGAAUUAGACUGAGAUUCAGAAAACCUUUGCAGGUCGACAUUUCUGUAUUAUAAAUUCUUUAUUCUAAU
ensembl:lncRNA